GUGCCAGCCGCCGCGGUAAUACGUAGGGGGCUAGCGUUGUCCGGAUUUAUUGGGCGUAAAGAGCGUGUAGGCGGCCUGGAAGGUCCGUUGUGAAAACUCGAGGCUUAACCUCGAGACGUCGAUGGAAACCUCCAGGCUAGAGUCCGGAAGAGGAGAGUGGAAUUCCCGGUGUAGCGGUGAAAUGCGCAGAUAUCGGGAAGAACACCCGUGGCGAAGGCGGCUCUCUGGGACGGUACUGACGCUGAGACGCGAAAGCGUGGGGAGCGAACAGGAUUAGAAACCCCCGUAGUCC
rnacentral:rRNA from 1 species